GCUAUGGAAAUGUAGGGAGGGAUCAAAAUAGUUUGCCUUACAUUGGCAUGUGUACUUGUCAAACAUAAAAGGUAGAGGUCAACAUGGCUUGCUCUGCUUUUUUAUAAUCUUAUAACCUUAAUAUCCAGACAUGGACAGGAGCAAUGCUUUAUAUCAUACACAUAUUUUUUCUUUCUCUUUUCAUUUUAAUGUCGUCCUUAAUUUGAAUGAAAUGAUUGCAUUUGGA
rnacentral:lncRNA from 1 species